CUUAUUCUGCUCGGCGUGUGACGUGACAAAAGUCGUGUCGCAUGUGUCACCCGAUUCCCGUAGGCGGAUGCGGUGACAAGAGUCGGUGUGAGUGAACACCAAUGAACUCUCACCGCAUUCCCACAGUCGUUUCAGAUCGACUAAUGUCGCACUGAAGUGACGUUUUGACGUGAGAUUUGUCGCAACCUCAAGAGGUGUCGACAGCUCAACCAGAAGGGGGUAAACAUAAAUAAAUGGACAUAUCGAUGGCACGGUGCAUUGAUGAACCGGCUGCCGGCGAACGUGGGUUUCAAAACUCCACUUUUCGAAUACUCAUCCAACCAUCACGAAGGAAAAUUUAACUACGUUUUACUCAAACACCGGAAUACUGGGAGUGAUUUUUGCGCCGUGGUGCAAUCUUCGCACUCGGAUUAUCGAGAGGAGCAGGCCCGUUCUGCACCGAGCAGUUCCCAGCAGGAACUGGAAUAGAAGCUCGGAUUUCGGCAACAGGAAGGAUCACAUGGACCCAUACCAUCCGGAGAUGUCGAUGAUCGUCAAUUCAGAAUCGGAGGGAGGGGGUGCCGCUGGGUAUGAUCGGAUGCCGGAUGAAAGUGAUUAAGAUGACGAAGGAGAGUCGCAGAAUUGGGGCCUCCCUGUGGAAAUUGAAAUUGAACGCACCAAGAAUUUCAUUCCAAAGCAUCCGCUUGUGGAAGCUGGGGCUUUUACGGAGCUGGAGAAUAGUUAGAAGAUGGACCUCAAAUGAAAAUUAAUUGCUCAUGGAGCUGAGUUGUUUAGCUAAGCGGCUCAGCAGUGUAAUUGUGAUAACUAUUUGGAAAGCAAACAAAUAAAUUAUUCAGGAUACUUUUGUA